rnacentral:rRNA from 1 species
GAUGAACGCUAGCGGCAGGCUUAACACAUGCAAGUCGAGGGGCAGCAUAAACAUUGCUUGCAAUGUUUGAUGGCGACCGGCGCACGGGUGCGUAACGCGUAUGUAACCUACCUCAAACAGGGGCAUAACACUGAGAAAUUGGUACUAAUUCCCCAUAACACUUCGGGAGGCAUCUCCUGGGGUUGAAAGUUCCGGCGGUUUGAGAUGGGGAUGCGUGACAUUAGGUAGAUGGCGGGGUAACGGCCCACCAUGCCUACGAUGUCUAGGGGUUCUGAGAGGAAGGUCCCCCCACACUGGAACUGAGGCACGGCCCAGACUCCUACGGGAGGCAGCAGUGAGGAAUAUUGGGCAAUGGGCGCAAGCCUGACCCAGCAAUGCCGCGUGAAGGAGACGGUUUUCGGAUUGUAAACUUCUUUUAAGAGGGUACGAUAAUGACGGUACCUCUUGAAUAAGCCACGGCUAACUACGUG